rnacentral:rRNA from 1 species
CGGACGGGUGAGUAACGCGUGGGUAACCUGCCUUAUACAGGGGGAUAACAGUCAGAAAUGGCUGCUAAUACCGCAUAAGCGCACAGAGCUGCAUGGCUCAGUGUGAAAAACUCCGGUGGUAUAAGAUGGACCCGCGUUGGAUUAGCUUGUUGGUGGGUAACGGCCCACCAAGGCGACGAUCCAUAGCCGGCCUGAGAGGGUGAACGGCCACAUUGGGACUGAGACACGGCCCAGACUCCUACGGGAGGCAGCAUG